rnacentral:SRP_RNA from 1 species
GCCGGGCGUGGUGGCGUGUGCCUGUAGUCCCAGCUACUCAGGAGGCUGAGGUGGGAGGAUCGCUUGAGCCCAGGAGUUCUGGGCUGUAGUGUGCUAUGCGGAUCGGGUGUCCACACUAAGUUUGGCAUCAAUAUGGUGACCUCCCGGGAGCGGGGGACCACCAAGUUGCCUAAAGAGGGGUGAACUGGCCUAGGUAGGAAACAGAGCAGGUCAAAACUCCCGUGCUGAUCAGUUGUGGGACUGCGCCUGUGAACAGCCACUGCACUCCAGCCUGGGCAACAUAGGGAGACCCCGUCUCCU